GAGAUAUUAGUAUAACAUUACAUAACUUUGUCAAAGUUAAAAUACAGGUGAAAAUCCUGUAUAUCUCC
rnacentral:tRNA from 1 species